UCGGACGUGGGGUAGUAGUUAACCCGCUCCUCUCUCAAAGGAGAAAGUAAGUCAUGGUCCCAAGCCGUGCCAAAAAGGAGUGAGAUGUACUGACAACGAGGUGAUAUGUAGCCCGGGUGCAAAUCCCGGCGUUCGAA
rnacentral:tRNA from 1 species